UAGGGAAUUUUCCGCAAUGGGCGAAAGCCUGACGGAGCAACGCCGCGUGAGGGAUGAAGGUUUUCGGAUCGUAAACCUCUGUCUUCAGGGACGAUAAUGACGGUACCUGAGGAGGAAGCCACGGCUAACUACGUGCCAGCAGCCGCGGUAAUACGUAGGUGGCAAGCGUUGUCCGGAAUUAUUGGGCGUAAAGGGCGUGUAGGCGGCUUUUUAAGUCAGGCGUGAAAUUUCUGGGCUUAACCCAGAAACUGCGUUUGAAACUGGAUGGCUUGAGGACCGGAGAGGGUAGUGGAAUUCCCAGUGUAGCGGUGAAAUGCGUAGAUAUUGGGAGGAACACCAGUGGCGAAGGCGACUGCCUGGACGGCACCUGACGCUGAGGCGCGAAAGCUAGGGGGAGCAAACGGGAUUAGAUACCCCGGUAGUCCUAGCUGUAAACGAUGGGUACUAGGCGUGGGAGGUAUCGACCCCUUCCGUGCCGCAGUUAACACAAUAAGUACCCCGCCUGGGGAGUACGGCCGC
rnacentral:rRNA from 1 species